CAGGAUGAACGCUAGCGACAGGCUUAACACAUGCAAGUCGAGGGGCAGCGGGGGAGUGGCAACACUUCCGCCGGCGACCGGCGCACGGGUGAGUAACACGUAUGAAACCUGCCCGCAGCAGGGGGAUAAGCGGAAGAAAUUCCGUCUAAUACCGCGUAACAACCGACGGGGGCAUCCCUGUUGGUUCAAAGGAGCGAUCCGGCUGCGGAUGGUCAUGCGGCGCAUUAGCUAGUUGGCGGGGCAACGGCCCACCAAGGCGACGAUGCGUAGGGGUUCUGAGAGGAAGGUCCCCCACACUGGUACUGAGACACGGACCAGACUCCUACGGGAGGCAGCAGUGAGGAAUAUUGGUCAAUGGCCGAGAGGCUGAACCAGCCAAGUCGCGUGAGGGAUGACGGCCCUACGGGUUGUAAACCUCUUUUGCCGGGGAGCAAAGAGCGGGACGCGUCCCGCCUCGAGAGUACCCGGAGAAAAAGCAUCGGCUAACUCCGUGCCAGCAGCCGCGGUAAUACGGAGGAUGCGAGCGUUAUCCGGAUUUAUUGGGUUUAAAGGGUGCGCAGGCGGAAGCGCAAGUCAGCGGUAAAAUUGAGAGGCUCAACCUCUUCCCGCCGUUGAAACUGCGUUUCUUGAGUGGGCGAGAAGUACGCGGAAUGCGUGGUGUAGCGGUGAAAUGCAUAGAUAUCACGCAGAACUCCGAUUGCGAAGGCAGCGUACCGGCGCCCAACUGACGCUCAUGCACGAAAGCGUGGGUAUCGAACAGGAUUAGAUACCCUGGUAGUCCACGCAGUAAACGAUGAAUA
rnacentral:rRNA from 1 species